UUACGGCCACAUCACGUUGAAACACCGGUUCUCAUACGAAGUUAAGCUACGUCAAGUCUGUUCAGUACCUAGAUGGGUGACCGCUUGGGACUAUUAGGUGCUGUAG